rnacentral:rRNA from 1 species
CGUGUAGGCGGCUUUUUAAGUCUGGAGUGAAAGUCCUGCUUUCAAGGUGGGAAUUGCUUUGGAAACUGGAGAGCUUGAGUGCGGAAGAGGUAAGUGGAAUUCCCAGUGUAGCGGUGAAAUGCGUAGAGAUUGGGAGGAACACCAGUGGCGAAGGCGACUUACUGGGCCGUAACUGACGCUGAGGCGCGAAAGCGUGGGGAGCGAACA